AUUGAACGCUGGCGGCAGGCCUAACACAUGCAAGUCGAACGGUAACAGGAAGCAGCUUGCUGCUUUGCUGACGAGUGGCGGACGGGUGAGUAAUGUCUGGGAAACUGCCUGAUGGAGGGGGAUAACUACUGGAAACGGUGGCUAAUACCGCAUAACGUCGCAAGACCAAAGAGGGGGACCUUCGGGCCUCUUGCCAUCGGAUGUGCCCAGAUGGGAUUAGCUAGUAGGUGGGGUAACGGCUCACCUAGGCGACGAUCCCUAGCUGGUCUGAGAGGAUGACCAGCCACACUGGAACUGAGACACGAUCCAGACUCCUACGGGAGGCAGCAGUGGGGAAUAUUGCACAAUGGGCGCAAGCCUGAUGCAGCCAUGCCGCGUGUAUGAAGAAGGCCUUCGGGUUGUAAAGUACUUUCAGCGGGGAGGAAGGGAGUAAAGUUAAUACCUUUGCUCAUUGACGUUACCCGCAGAAGAAGCACCGGCUAACUCCGUG
rnacentral:rRNA from 1 species